rnacentral:lncRNA from 1 species
GAGGGGAUAGAGUUCGGAAUGAGACUAUCCGGGAGAAGGUUGGUGUGACUUCAGUGGAGUGUAAGAUGCGGGAAGCACGAUUGAGAUGGUUCGGACACGUGAAGAGGAGGGGCAUGGGUGCCCCGGUGCGUAGGGGUGAGAGGCUAGCGUUGGAUGGUUUUAGACGGGGUAGAGGUAGACCGAAGAAGUACUGGGGUGAGGUGAUUAGGCGGGACAUGGAACAGCUACAGCUCACCAAGGACAUGACCCUAGAUAGGAAGGUCUGGAGAGCGCGAAUUACGGCAGAGGAUUAGGGCCAGUUUGGGUCGCUAGUGUAAAUUACUUGGUGGGGUUUUUUUUAUUUUUUAUUUUUUAUUCCCGUUAUGAUUCCGUAUUCAGUGUUCCAUGCUUAUUACGAAUCUGUGUGCUUUCCUCUGCUUUCCUCUGUUUUAUAUUCCUUAUGGGUGCCGUAUUUAUGUUAUGUCAUCUGCUUCUGUGCUUUACUAUGUGUUUGUGUGAUAUCUUGUGCCUUGAGCCGGGGUCUUUCGGAAACAGCCUUUCUACUUCAUCAGAGGUAGAGGUAUGGACUGCGUACAUCUUACCCCCCCC